rnacentral:lncRNA from 1 species
GUUUUUCUAGGUGUUCAAAAAAGGCCCUAAUAAAAUGUUGAUAAAAUGUCUAUGAAAUAAUCUGCUUAAAUUCAGAAAUUUAUAAGUAUUGUUUCAAAAUGUGAACAGAAAAGAAGGUUAACAGAUAAAAAAAAUAAAUAAAAGGUUCUAGGUGUGGAUUUCAUAGAGGGAAAAUGUGUUUCUGGAUAAGAGUCUAUAUGAUUAAGUAAUUAAGAGGGUUUAAGUAAGUGAUAAAGAAGGUCUAUGUAAGUUGGUUAUAUGUGUAAGUUUUUGAGCAAGUAAUCUUAAAGAAAUUAAAAAGCUGGAUAAACAAGUGCUGUUUUAGAGCAUUGUGCUGUGUUAUUUCUUUAAAAGCUAAACUUGGUUAAUAUAAAAACAUCAAUGUAAUUGUGGUGCUAUUAAUGUGUUCAUAUCUUCCAGGUAUACAAGUUUGUAAGAAAAAAGAGCAUUAUAUCAAGCUGGUGUUCUAAAAUUGUAUGGUAAUUUUAGACUUAAAAAAAACAUGUUGGAGAUUUAUUUAUAUCAUUUUUGUUCUAUAACUGGACUUGUUAUCAAUAAGAUAUGUAAAGU